AGACUGGAUUUUUGCCUGACUACGGUGCUCAGCCUUCUAGACAAUAGUUAUGCUAAGGGAUUAUCUUUUAACAUUGUGCAGUUAUCUCCUUUGUUUGUUUUCUUUUUUCAUUAUUCACAUAAGCCAAGGGAAAUGAAAAGCAUCUUAUUUCAGGCAAAAAGGCCUGUGAAUGAUUAACUCUGGUUCCAUGCGUUGGGACUUUGCAUAGCAACCCCGUGGCUUGCAACGACAAAAAAGCUCAAGGCAGGAACAGCAGCCCAGGGACCUGAGACCAGCGUUCUCAAAUGAAGGUGCCAGAUCUGCUGUUAGAGGAGAAUUCUUCUGUCCUAGCUGUGUCUCUGUGAUCUGUGGAUGAGGGUGGGAAAGCACCACUCAGUCAAUUGGGGUGUACAAAAUGGAGUUUGAGAAGGUCUCACAUCCAGGUUGUUUUGAAGCAAAGUCCAAGCAUUGUAUCACUUCAUCUGCAAAUAUUUCAAUAAGUACCCAAAAGUGGUUGGACUGAGUCCCAUGAAGCCAGAUCACUUCUGACUGCAAGGAGCUUGGAAAAGCAAGUAUCUGGAUCUUUUACCAGCUAAAUUUGGAGAAUUAUUGAUCAAAUUUGGAUCUCUGUGUGCUGUCCUCCAAUUUAAUACUUUCUGUGUUGCUGUUUUAUUUUCUUUCUUCUGGAACCUGGCAAAGUGCGUCAAGCGAUGAGGCUUCCUCUUUGAAGAUCACAGGUGAGAAGAUUAGGUGCUUUCUCAGAAGCCCAGCAACCUGAUGGGAGUGUGGAGUGAGCAAGACCCAAAUCGGAGCUUCAUCCCUGCAUGGUUCAUUUUGCUUAUUUGGCAAACUUGCCCUGCAGAAUCUACUCAAGCUUCCUCAGUUUCUCAAAUCAUUCUUGGGCAACAAAUGAACAAGAAAGAGGACGUCUUAUUAUCUGGUGUCUGGCUUGCUGAUUUAAUAACCUAGGAGACAGUGUUUGAAGAACACAAACUCUAAAGUCCUUCACUUAAAAAAAAAAAAAAACUUUCCCAAAUUGCUUACCAUUUGGAAAAAUUGCCUUACCUUCUUCAGUCAUCUCUGAUGUUGUCAUCCUCAGAGUAAGAAGUACGCAUUCAUAAGGAACCAUAACGUCCUUCAGGAAAUCCAGUACACCCUACAAUUUUACCUAAAACUUUGAUGUUGUUUUUUCUGAGCAUUUUACCUUCUAGGGAAAUGGAUCUCAUGCUGUUUAUCAGUUUCUGAAAGUUGUUAUUAAUCUCCCCUCAUCCCAAAAUUGAAGAACUUUGCUUAAAUCUUAGAAUCAGAACUUUGGCUCCAGUAAUAAAGACUUUUCAAUAUCU
rnacentral:lncRNA from 1 species